UACUGGGAUCCCUCCCACCAACUGCUCCAGUGAAUCCUUAACCUGGACCUGUUUGCCAGAACAGUUCAGAUGCGAGAAUCGUGGCAAGACUGGAAACAGAAAUGAAGACACAGUGUUACCGUUCAACUAGAGUGGUCUCUGAAGCCCAGCAGGCUGCUACACUUUCUAGUUGGAUAAGAGAUAAAGAAGAUGGACUUUGAAAGGCUAAUUCACAGGCUACCACACAGUCAAUAAAAGCUGAUGCUUGGAUCUCACACACCCCCACACACCCCCGGCUAAAAUGGCUCCAGAGUCCUCUUUUUAACUACUUUAUUUCGCUGCCAUCAAAGCAAAAAUAUUUGUAA